rnacentral:rRNA from 1 species
UACGUAGGGCGCAAGCGUUGUCCGGAUUUAUUGGGCGUAAAGAGCUCGUAGGCGGUCUGUCGCGUCGGAUGUGAAAACCCGGAACUCAACUCCGGGCCUGCAUUCGAUACGGGCAGACUUGAGUACUGCAGGGGAGACUGGAAUUCCUGGUGUAGCGGUGGAAUGCGCAGAUAUCAGGAGGAACACCGGUGGCGAAGGCGGGUCUCUGGGCAGAAACUGACGCUGAGGCACGAAGGCCAGGGGAGCAAACGGG